CUCUUAUCAAGAGUGGCGGAGGGACUAGGCCCUACGAUGCCCGGCAACCAACAAGUUUUAUACUUGGAAAGGUGCUAAAUCCUACAAAUUCACGAGCGAAUUUGGAAGAUAAGAG
rnacentral:ncRNA from 2 species